GACUUUCUAUGAAUCUGAGGAUGAUCUUGAACUGCUGCUCAUCUUCCUAUCUCCACCUCUUGAUGCUGAAAUUACUGGUGUGAUGGACGGUAGUUUAUGAGAUGCUGGGGAUCAAACUCAGAGCCCUGUGAAUACUGGAUAAGCACUCUACCAACUUGGCUAAGGAGCCCAAGAAGCUGGGGAGUGAGAGGGCAGCCUUUGCAAUACAGAGUGCCUUGAACAGAGCUCAAAGAGAGGACAAAUAAACCAUUCUGGGGGAGCUGCAGAAGGAUGGCCAAGCAGAAAGCCGGGGGUGAAUCAACAGAAGUGGCAUGGAAUAUGCAACAGCUUGUGUUGCUUUGACGGUCGUCUUGCUGGGCGUGCAACUGUAUUGGACAUUCCAGGGACAAGGGAAGCCCGUGAGAACUGCAGGCAGGUGCAUAACUGGUGUUUGACAAUAAUCAGAAUGUCAUCCGAAGCUGAGAAAUUCGGCAUUUCUCAGCCGGCUUCUUUAGUCCCGGGCUCCAGCAGAGAAUGGCCGCUAGAGGGCGCUCCUUCCUCUCUCUUCCAUCACUCGUUUGCUUUCGACAUUUUACACCAGUAUCCAGCAGGAGGUUUUCCAGAGUUUUGAACCCGUAUGCCAGCACCUACGAAAAUGCUCAUUGAUUCACUUCAAGUCAUUUAUUCCAUUAAAAUUACCCCUCUAAUGCCAGUUUUUAAAUUUUUAAAAAUUUUAUUUUUACGUGUAUGAGUGUUUUGCCUG
rnacentral:lncRNA from 1 species